rnacentral:rRNA from 1 species
GAUGAACGCUGGCGGCGUGCCUAAUACAUGCAAGUCGAGCGAACAGACGAGGAGCUUGCUCCUCUGACGUUAGCGGCGGACGGGUGAGUAACACGUGGAUAACCUACCUAUAAGACUGGGAUAACUUCGGGAAACCGGAGCUAAUACCGGAUAAUAUAUUGAACCGCAUGGUUCAAUAGUGAAAGACGGUUUUGCUGUCACUUAUAGAUGGAUCCGCGCCGCAUUAGCUAGUUGGUAAGGUAACGGCUUACCAAGGCAACGAUGCGUAGCCGACCUGAGAGGGUGAUCGGCCACACUGGAACUGAGACACGGUCCAGACUCCUACGGGAGGCAGCAGGAGGGAAUCUUCCGCAAUGGGCGAAAGCCUGACGGAGCAACGCCGCGUGAGUGAUGAAGGUCUUCGGAUCGUAAAACUCUGUUAUUAGGGAAGAACAAAUGUGUAAGUAACUAUGCACGUCUUGACGGUACCUAAGCAGAAAGCCACGGCUAACUACGU